UACGGAGGGUGCUAGCGUUGUUCGGAAUCACUGGGCGUAAAGGGCGUGUAGGCGGUCUGUUAAGUCUGAUGUGAAAUCCCCUCGCUCAACGAGGGAACUGCGUCGGAUACUGGCAGACUCGAGUACCGGAGAGGAAGGUGGAAUUCCCGGUGUAGCGGUGAAAUGACGUAGAUAUCGGGAGGAACACCGGUGGCGAAGGCGGCCUCUGGACGGAUACUGGACGCUGAGACGCGAAAGCGUGGGGAGCAAACAGG
rnacentral:rRNA from 1 species